AUACGUAGUGGAUGUUCAAACACGCAUGCGCAGUUAAUAUAAUGUUACGCGCAUGCGCGGUGCUGUGUUGUUGUUGAUGAACAAUCGCACGUGCUUUGGUAUUUCAAGAAGAAUCUGCCGAAAAACGAAGGAUUAUUUAACAACAGUGAUUGUAUAAAGAUUUGACUGGAUUUGGCAAGAUGCCCUUGCUCAUUAAAGAAGAUGGAGAUGUGGCUUUUAUCAGACUGUUGACAUGCCAGCUUUUUCACUAUGUUGUUAGUAAAGCAUCUUUCAGAGAAAAGGCUCAUGUAGUCUGGCUUGACACUGUUGUCAACUGGAACACAUUCUCCGGGGUGUAGAGAUUUAUUUACAGACUGUCCACCAGGUCGAGUUGGAGGAAGGGUGUCCCAGGGAUGAAUUGUUCAUCUAUUCUGCAUCAGUAAAGCAGUGGUGGCGUGGCACUGACUUUAAACUAUUUAAGAUCAAACUGUGACAAAAGCUUUACCUGUGCUGACUGCAGUCAGUUAUAUGUGACCCUGCCUGUGAAAAAACAGUAUAAGUCUUGAAAUGUAAUUAUGAUAUAAUGAGCAUCAAAGUGUUAUUUUCAUUACUUUCACAUUGAUUUUGACAUUUGACAUGAUUUUACUCAGUCAACCCCACACACCCAGCCAACUUUGAACUUUUGCCCUUUGGCCGGCGCUACAAAGCACUGAACACUAUAAACAACAGUUUGUUCCUCAGGUUAUAUACCUAAACAAUUAAAGAACCCAUAACUUCCACAC